AUGGUCAGGGAGGGAGCUUCUUGCAGCGUCUACAAAGGGAAGCUCAGGGACGGGUCACAGGUUGCCGUCAAACGUGCCAGGAAGUUAAACGGUCAGUAUCUAUCUGCUGAACUUAGCAGGGAGCUCGAAACGCUUCAGAAGAUCGAGCACCAGAAUUUGGUGAGGUUCAUCGGGUUCUUCGGGCAGAGAGAUGAAACUCUAAUUGUUACAGAGUACGUCGACAAUGGCUCCUUAAGAGAACACUUGGAUGAAUCGCGUGGAACCGGGUUAGAACUUGCGCAGCGGCUCAACAUCGCGAUCGACGUGGCUCACGCCAUCACCUACCUGCACGAAUACGCAGAACGGGCGGUGAUCCACCGGGACAUCCGGUCGUCGAACGUGCUGCUGACGGGCGCGCUGGCGGCGAAGGUGGCCGGGUUCGGGCUGGCUCGGGUGGCCGGCGACGGCGAGGCGACGCACGUGACGACGCAGGUGGUGGGCACGGCCGGGUACCUGGACCCGGAGUACCUGGGCACGCUCCAGCUCACGGACAAGAGCGACGUCUACUCCUUCGGCGUCCUCCUCGUCGAGCUCGUCACCGGCCGGCCGCCCAUCGAGCGCCGCCGCGGCCUCGAGCCCCGCGCCACCACCAAGUGGGCGCUGCAGAAGUUCCGGGGAGGCGACGCGGUGGUGGCCAUGGACCCGAGGGUGCGGCGGAGCCCGGCGUCGGUGGCGGCCGUGGAGGGGAUGCUCCGGCUGGCCGAGCAGUGCGUCAUGCCGGCGAGGCAGGACCGGCCGUCCAUGCGGCGGUGCAACGAGGCGCUGUGGACCGUGCGAAGGGACUUCCAGCGGAGGCAGGAGCCGCGGCAGGACGGGCCGGCCGCCGCCGGCGGCGCCGGAGACAGGAGCUCCGAGUGGGUUAGCCGAUGA
rnacentral:rRNA from 1 species